rnacentral:rRNA from 1 species
GAUGAACGCUAGCGGCAGGCCUAAUACAUGCAAGACGAACGGUAAGUUUGGUAGCAAUACUGAACCAAGAGUGUCGUAAGGGUGCGUAACGGGUAUGCAAUCUGCCCUCAACAGGAGAAUAGAUCCCCGAAAGGGGAAUUAACACUCCGUAAUAUCCCGAUUCGGCAUCGUGUUGCGAUUAAAACUACGGUGGUUGAGGAUGAGCAUGCUUCUGAGUAGUUAGUUGGCGGGGUAACGGCCCACCAAGACGAUGAUCAGUAGGGGAACUGAGAGGUUGAUCCCCUACACUGGCACUGAGAUACAGGCCAGACGCCUACGGGAGGCAGCGGUAGUGAAUAUUGGACAAUGGGUGCGAGCCUGAUCCAGCCAUGCCGCGUGCAGGAAGACGGCCUUCUGGGUUGUAAACUGCUUUUGCCAGGGGAUAAAAAGCCCUUGCGAGGGAAAUUGAAGGUACCUGGUGAAUAAGCCACGGCUAACUACGUGCCAGCCGCCGCAGUAAAAC